UCUUGAGAGCGGCGGACGGGUGAGUAAUGCCUAGGAAUCUGCCUGGUAGUGGGGGAUAACGUCCGGAAACGGACGCUAAUACCGCAUACGUCCUACGGGAGAAAGCAGGGGACCUUCGGGCCUUGCGCUAUCAGAUGAGCCUAGGUCGGAUUAGCUAGUUGGUGAGGUAAUGGCUCACCAAGGCGACGAUCCGUAACUGGUCUGAGAGGAUGAUCAGUCACACUGGAACUGAGACACGGUCCAGACUCCUACGGGAGGCAGCAGUGGGGAAUAUUGGACAAUGGGCGAAAGCCUGAUCCAGCCAUGCCGCGUGUGUGAAGAAGGUCUUCGGAUUGUAAAGCACUUUAAGUUGGGAGGAAGGGUUGUAGAUUAAUACUCUGCAAUUUUGACGUUACCGACAGAAUAAGCACCGGCUAACUCUGUGCCAGCAGCCGCGGUAAUACAGAGGGUGCAAGCGUUAAUCGGAAUUACUGGGCGUAAAGCGCGCGUAGGUGGUUUGUUAAGUUGGAUGUGAAAGCCCCGGGCUCAACCUGGGAACUGCAUUCAAAACUGACAAGCUAGAGUAUGGUAGAGGGUGGUGGAAUUUCCUGUGUAGCGGUGAAAUGCGUAGAUAUAGGAAGGAACACCAGUGGCGAAGGCGACCACCUGGACUGAUACUGACACUGAGGUGCGAAAGCGU
rnacentral:rRNA from 1 species